UGUGCAAAAAACUUUUAUUCAAUCUCUUUUCAACCUGUUAAGUAUUGUAAAACACUUUUCAUGUAUAGUUUUAACAUUUACAUUUGUUGUGGUCAGAUGCCGUUACCAAAGUGACCUACAAAAAAGUUCUAUAUAUAUAUGUGUGGAGGAUUGUGAUAUAAAUCGGCAAACUCAAUUUUAUUAGUCAGUGGUUGUAAAUAAACAGCUUUUUACUCUAUAUGUGUGUAAAUCAUGAUCAGUGUUAUGUAUUAGAGAAUCUUAGAGUAUUGUUUUGUUUUUUUGAUCCUUUAAAUGUCUUGCUUAGCUGUAUUUUAAUUUAGAUCAUGUUGGUGUCUGUACUGAGGUUUACCAAUGCUAGCUAGUCUUGUGCUCAUUUCCCAAGAGUCAGGAAAUAGUAACAGAAAAGUUUUUUUCCCAAGUUCUUAUCUGUCAUGUAAUAAUAAUCCUUUUAAAAACCAAGCUGAAGGACUGGAAUCACUGCCAUAGUAUUAUUAAAGAUAUCAAUUUGUACUGUGUUCUGUUGUAAUUUAGAACUAAAUUUUUCAUUUCAUCUCGGAACAUUUACCAAUUAAAUGUUAUUUGAAUCAUU